rnacentral:rRNA from 1 species
AAGUCGUAACAAGGUUUCCGUAGGUGAACCUGCGGAAGGAUCAUUACAGAGUUCGAGCCCUCCCGGGCAGACCUCCCACCCUUGCCUACCCUACCUUUGUUGCUUUGGCGGGCCGCCCUCGGCCACCGGCGUCCUGCGCUGGUGUGCGCCCGCCAGAAGAGCCCCAACCCUGAAUGUAUUGUGUCGUCUGAGUAACACAUCAACGUUAAAACUUUCAACAACGGAUCUCUUGGUUCUGGCAUCGAUGAAGAACGCAGCGAAAUGCGAUAAGUAAUGUGAAUUGCAGAAUUCAGUGAAUCAUCGAAUCUUUGAACGCACAUUGCGCCCCUCGGUAUUCCGGGGGGCAUGCCUGUUCGAGCGUCAUUCGCACCCCUCAAGCGCUGCUUGGUCCUGGGCCGCGCCGGUGAUGGCGGGCCCCAAACUCAGUGGCGGCGCCGCUGGGCCCCGAGCGUAGUAACGUCUCUCUCGCUGUGGUGACCUGGCGGACGGCGACCAGCAAGCCCAACUUCUAGUAGUUGACCUCGGAUCAGGUAGGAGUACCCGCUGAACUUAA